rnacentral:rRNA from 1 species
GGUCUGUGGGAUGUACUAGCAUGCGAGUCAUUGUAGUAAUACAAGGCAGACGGCUCAGUAACGCGUAGUCAACCUACCCUAUGGACGGGGAUAACCUCGGGAAACUGAGAAUAAUACCCGAUAGAACAUUAUGCCUGGAAUGGUUUAUGUUUCAAAUAAUUUAUUGCCGUAGGAUGGGACUGCGGCCUAUCAGUUUGUUGGUGAGGUAAUGGCCCACCAAGACUAUUACAGGUACGGGCUCUGAGAGGAGUAGCCCGGAGAUGGGUACUGAGACACGGACCCAGGCCCUAUGGGGCGCAGCAGGCGAGAAAACUUUGCAAUGUGCGAAAGCACGACAAGGUUAAUCCGAGUGGUUUCUGCUAAAGGAACCUUUUGUCAGUCCUAGAAACACUGGUGAAUAAGGGGUGGGCAAGUUCUGGUGUCAGCCGCCGCGGUAAAACCAGCACCUCAAGUGGUCAGGAUGAUUAUUGGGCCUAAAGCAUCCGUAGCCUGCUUUGUAAGUUUUCGGUUAAAUCCAUACGCUCAACGUAUGGGCUGCCGGGAAUACUGCAAAGCUAGGGAGUGGGAGAGGUAGACGGUACUCGGUAGGAAGGGGUAAAAUCCUUUGAUCUAUUGAUGACCACCUGUGGCGAAGGCGGUCUACCAGAACACGUCCGACGGUGAGGGAUGAAAGCUGGGGGAGCAAACCGGAUUAGAUACCCGGGUAGUCCCAGCUGUAAACUAUGCAAACUCAGUGAUGCAUUGGCUUGAUGCCAAUGCAGUGCUGCAGGGAAGCCGUUAAGUUUGCCGCCUGGGAAGUACGUACGCAAGUAUGAAACUUAAAGGAAUUGGCGGGGGAGCACCACAAGGGGUGAAGCCUGCGGUUCAAUUGGAUUCAACGCCGGG